rnacentral:lncRNA from 9 species
AACACUGACCUCUGACCUUGGUCCUAUUUUGGGUGGAUUGGCAGCAACCUCCAAGUUCAACCCUCUGCAUAGCACCCUCUCUGCUUUGUGUCCCCAGGCAGUUGGAGGCCCUUGUGGUCUCUGACCUGCUCUGACACUCGCCUGCCCUCCCUGUUCUGACCCACCGACCUGAACUUGGGUCCAUUUAUACAGCAGAGACCAGCUCUAACAGCAAGAGGCCAGAAAGGCUACUGGAGUCCCUCAGAGUUGCUGAUCUGCUCUGACACUCACUCGCCUGCCCACCCUGCUCUGACCCACCUGAUCCUCACACCCGCCUGGUUACCUUUUCACCAUUUUGAAAGGAGAGGCCCAAGUCCAACAGUGAGAGUCAGAAAGACAGUUGGAGGCCCUCGUGGUCACUGACCUGCUCUGACGCUCACUCACCUGCCUGCCCUGCUCUGACCCACCUGAUCCCCACACCCGCCUGGUUACCUCGUUACCAUCUUGAGAGGAGAGGCCCACAUCUAACAGCGAGAGUCAGAAAGGUGAGCAAGAGCUGUACCCUCAGCCCCUACUGACACUUCAAGUAAA